rnacentral:rRNA from 1 species
CUCGUAGGCGGUUUGUCGCGUCGGGAGUGAAAACACACAGCUUAACUGUGUGCUUGCUUCCGAUACGGGCAGACUAGAGGUAUGCAGGGGAGAACGGAAUUCCUGGUGUAGCGGUGAAAUGCGCAGAUAUCAGGAGGAACACCGGUGGCGAAGGCGGUUCUCUGGGCAUUACCUGACGCUGAGGAGCGAAAGUGUGGGGAGCGAACA